GGAACUGAACAGACACCUCACAGAAGUAAAAAUACAAUCGAUCAACAAACAUGAAAAAAUGUUCAUCAUUUCUAGCAAUUAGAGAAGUGCAAAUCAAAACUACUCAGAUUUCAACCCACUCCAGUAAGAUGGCAGCUAUUAAGAAUACAAGCAAUAAUGUGUUGGCGAGGCACACUCAUACAUUGCUGGUGGGACUGCGAAUUGGUGCAGCCAAUAUGGAAAGCAGUAUGGAGAUUCCUUAGAAAACUUGGAAUGGCACCACUAUUUGACCCAGCUAUCCCACUCCUCAGUUUAUACCCAAGGACUUAAAAUCAGCACACUGCAGUGACACAGCCACAUCAAUGUUUAUAGCAGCACAAUUCACAAUAGUUAAGCUACAGUACCAACCUAGAUGCCCUUCAACAGCUGAAUGGACAAAGAAAAUGUAGUACAUAUACACAAUGGAAAAUUAUUCAGCCUUAAAGAAGAAUGAAAUUAUGGCAUUUGCUGGUAAAUGGAUGGAACUAAAGAAUAUCAUGCUAAGUAAAAUAAGCCAAUCCCCCAGAACCCAAAGCAGAAUGUUUUUUCUGAUAAGAGGAUGCUGAUCCAUAGUGGGGCAGAGGAUAGGAAAGAAUGAGGGAACUUUGGUUUGUGCAGAGGGGAGUGAACUUUGGUUUGUGU
rnacentral:lncRNA from 1 species